rnacentral:rRNA from 1 species
UAGGGAAUCUUCCACAAUGGGGGCAACCCUGACCGAGCAACGCCGCGUGAGUGAAGAAGGUUUUCGGAUCGUAAAGCUCUGUUGUAAGAGAAGAACGUGUGUGAGAGUGGAAAGUUCACACAGUGACGGUAACUUACCAGAAAGGGACGGCUAACUACGUGUCAG